UGAUACGCUUGUGGAG
rnacentral:sRNA from 1 species